rnacentral:lncRNA from 1 species
UCUCUCGAGGGAGUGUCUAACUCGGUGUCACAGUGUGUUUGACCCUAAAUUAAUUUCACGCCGGAAUAUCCCUUUAAGUAAUUUCUGAAAUCACAUACUUGCCCACUACCUCCAUCAUACUCAAACAGUUUUACAGCAGCUGUAGGUGAAGAGAUUCUCUUGCAAGAGAAUGUUAAUGCUUGGUCCGCUGCACGACACUUGAGGCAGAUGCUCACCCAUGCUAGUUUAUUCCUGUUACCGGCAGCACUUUGUCUCAGUCAGUGCCGGUUAGCGCUAAAGCAGCACAAAAAGACCGUUAACAGGCCGGGUGCUUUGCAGAGUACAGGAUGACAGGUUUCGAAGAGACUACUGUCUCUGCUUCUCCUGUCAGAGGUACUGUGAGGGCUGGAACAUGCAAAAAUAGACUUAAAGACGAGGAAAGCAUCAAUCCAACUUUGUAAAUCCAGAGCUGGACUCAGAUUGCAUUGUGGGACAGUGAGUAAGUGUCAUACUUUAAAAACUCUGGCCAAUCAGAGACAAUGAAUCUGGAAUCAAAUACUAAAUAUAGUACGAGUAUGUGGUUUCAGAAAUAGUCUUUGCGGGUCAUAAAACUCCAGUGUUGUGCCUGAACUUGAACUAACUUCGUCUGAGACCGAACUUACAAGGUUAAAUAACAUGAUUAUGUGCAUAAAGCACAUUUUUUUAGGCAUUUAAUACGAAAUCCAAAAGGAGGGCAUCUACUUUAACUUUUCUUCAGUAUUACAUUAUGGGAUAGGUUCAUAUUUGUUCCUCGUGUCCCGGCCGCUUUUAGAGCCCAAAGACAGACAAGGACACUUAGAUGCCGCUCAUACCCUGUUUUCAUUAGAAAUAAGUGAUGUUACACAGUCGUUUUCAGCUCUACAAUCUCUGUGUUUGUUUGUGUAUGUCUGAUCCUCGGAUUGUAACAGAUGUGGAGAUCCACACAGAGAGCAAAGUCAAACAAAUUGGGUUAAAAUGAAGAUGCCAGACUGCAAAACACAAUAACGGAGUCCGUGUUGCCCCGCAGUCAUAAUAUUGUUGCCCUUUACUGAGAGCUACAGUAAAAAAUUGCUUGUCUGCUUCUGAAUACUGGAAGUAACAAUCUCCAUCUGCGGCUCCGCUUUGGGCGCCUGAAGUUUAUUUUCUGAGAGGGAAGAGAUUAUUGAAUUUUCUCAGGUUACAUACUCCAUUUUUCAUUCAUGUUACAUUUUCUACGUGUAUUCCCAAACUUACGCAGUUUCAGCCUUAUGUGGGAUGAAUUUUCAGACCAGAAGUAUGAACAUUUACGCCUUUACUGUCUUCAACUAUGUGUGCAAUUAUCAGAGCACAAGUUACUCAAGUCAAACUCAAUUCAAAUAAAGUAUUUUGACUUCUUUUUAGUAUAUCUACCCUCGAAUAACAACAUCCAACAUUAAUCCUGAGUCUUCUUAUCGUACUGACAAACACGGACACACACAUGUCCCCCUGCACUUUAUCUCGUCGAAACAUCAACCGGCACAUUGUGUGGCGUAAAGUGCUCCUCUAAUGUCAGCUUGCAGGCUACAUGGCUGAUUAUCUGCUCAGCUGCGGCUCAUUAAACAUCAUGUAAACAGACCUGAUAAUGUCACUUUGUUACAGUGACGUGCGAGUCGAGUUCAAACACUUUCGAAACACCUGCUUCACCUUGAUAAAAACUACACACUUAAUCAAAGGUUUUUCGCUGGUUAUGAAAAACAGACGGAAUAAAAAAACUUUAAUGAGCUACAGAAAAAGAGACUAUCAGGGACAAGACUGAUUACUUUAUGUAGUUAGUACUUGAUGUCUGUAAUCAUUGCCACCAGGCAGGUGUCACACAAAGUGAAUUACGACAAGCUGCAGAGACAGCCUUUGCUUAUAUUAUCAAGGGUCUGUACUAUGAAGCUGGAUUUGAUCUUAGUAAACAGGUACACAAUCAGCCAGUCGGCCAUGUUGGAUAUACCUGUGAAUCUGACGUCGCAACAACACGCAAUCUGAUCAGUGGAAGUGGACACAGUAUGCGAAACUUUAGAAAAAUCGAUCAUGAUCCGAAAAAAUAAAUGCUGCAAUAUCGCAGGAAGGGAAAAACGUCCGAAACGAUAGUGAGACUGAAUAUGCUGGAACAUUGACUAUGAGGUGCAAAAAACUGGUGAGGAGACAGUGAGACACAUGAGGUUAAAUACCGUUAACGAGGGUGAUGGGAAACAGGUGGGGAGACACAAUCAGGCUGCAGGUGUGACAAGACGAGCGCAGGGCAGAUCAGACAGGAACAAAUCUAGAAGACAAAAACAAGGGUUAGUGAACCACCAGAAUAAAACAGGAAAGACAUGACAUGAAACGAAACAUGAAUGUGCAAAAAUAAAGGAAAAUUAAUUUACAUUAACCGAUGUGAUGCAAUGAAGAAGACGAUGCUAUAAAGUAUAAGAGGGCGCAAUACAACACAGCAAGAUUGGACACAAUACCAUAUGAUGCAGUGUGAUAUGUUGCAUCAAUGCAAUACAAAAUGUUAUCUGAUUCAUGAUGAUGAGAUGCGAUGGGAUACAAAUUAAUUUAUUAUUGGUCAAAAUGGAGAGGUACGAUGAAAUAUGAUAUAAUACAAUAAAAGGUAACCCUGUCUUUUGCAGUACACUUAUUACCAGGUAAUUAAUAGGUAAUAACCUAGUAACAACAUGAAAUUAACUGGUAAUUACAUGAUAACUUGAUUCAGCCUAUGGGCGUGCGAAGAUUGCGUAGCGAUACGCUGUUUGAGCCGAGCAUUAUCACAGCGACUCACCCGGUGAAUGCUACUGCGCAAGUGGUGGUUCCAGGAAGCGGAAAAAAUCCUGGAAAUACCAGAGUGAUUCGGCUUCAAAUUUGUAUAAUGAUGGAAGGUUAACUACCUGGUAGCUAGACAGUAUUGAUUUAGUAGUUAUCAUGUAAUUACCAGAUAAUUUCAUGUUGUUACUAGGUUAUUACCUGUUAAUUACCUGGUUAUAAGAAAGGGUUACCUUUUAUUGUAUUAUAUCAUAUUUUAUCAUACCGCUGCAUUUUGACCAAUAUCCUGAUAUUUGCUGGUAUUUCCCAUCAUGAUUUUGAAGACUCUUUUUGGUUUUCUUCCUGUGUAUUUAUUUCAUUUAAUCUUGUUGGUUGCAGGUUUGAAUUCAGGAACUGAGCUACUGAGCAUGACAGCGAUAAUGUCUCAGAAUAGUUGUUAUUAACACUUUGACAGGGUGUGAAGAUAAAGUACACAAGCGUGAUGCAUCCAUAUAUCUGUUUUUAGCAUAUGUUUUGCUGCGAUUAAGCUACUUUAACAAUACCUCAGACUAUUUGAUAAGAUAGUUAAAGCAUACCCUGUGCUACUUUUAAUGUAACACACAUGGACUCUAAAUCAUAAGCACCACAUGUGUGCAGAGAGAGUCGGAGUCUCUGUCAGGAGUGCAGGAGUUUUGCCAGAGGGCUUCAUUAACUGUUUCCCAGCAGUUUAUGAGUCAAUGUCCAAUUUUGUCCACUCCCUGAAAUAAACAGUAUUUUCACUGGAG